rnacentral:pre_miRNA from 1 species
AUUACCUGGGGUCCUUGUUAAAAGGCAGACUCUGAUUCAGUGGGUCUGGGGUAGGGCCUGAGAGUCUGUAUUUCUAACAGGUUCCCAGGUGAGGCACC